CAGUAGCCACGGUAAUACGUAGGUCCCGAGCGUUGUCCGGAUUUAUUGGGCGUAAAGCGAGCGCAGGCGGUUAGAUAAGUCUGAAGUUAAAGGCUGUGGCUUAACCAUAGUACGCUUUGGAAACUGUUUAACUUGAGUGCAAGAGGGGAGAGUGGAAUUCCAUGUGUAGCGGUGAAAUGCGUAGAUAUAUGGAGGAACACCGGUGGCGAAAGCGGCUCUCUGGCUUGUAACUGACGCUGAGGCUCGAAAGCGUGGGGAGCAAACAGGAUUAGAUACCCCGGUAGUCCCUGUCUCUUAUACA
rnacentral:rRNA from 1 species